rnacentral:rRNA from 1 species
UACGGGGGGAGCAAGCGUUGUUCGGAUUUACUGGGCGUAAAGGGCGCGUAGGCGGCCACCGCAAGUCGACUGUGAAAUCUCCGGGCUUAACCCGGAAAGGUCAGCCGAUACUGCGGGGCUAGAGUGCAGAAGGGGCAACUGGAAUUCUCGGUGUAGCGGUGAAAUGCGUAGAUAUCGAGAGGAACACCGGUGGCGAAGGCGAGUCCCUGGUCCGCAUCUGACGCUGAGGCGCGAAAGCGUGGGUAGCAAACAGG